rnacentral:lncRNA from 1 species
UGUGCUCAACACAUACGAAAUAUAAUCAUAUUACAAUUGUUUACAUCACAUGCCAAUCUCUUGGCUAUUCCUUAGUAUGCCUACCAUUUAUUGAUAUGAAAACACAACCUGAAUUUGAACGGGUGAGUAUAAAGUUCAAAGAGUGAAUAUAGGGAGGGGAGACAAGUUAAAUGCAUGAGUUUUUAUUGUAAAAUCAUUUACAUUCAAAUUACACAAACUCGACUCAUGAUUGUGUCAUUCAAACAUAUGAACAUGUAAGUUCGACAUGUAGAUGUGCCAUUCAAACAAGUCUUAAUGAAAGGAAAACCUCUCUUUAAUUUUUACUUAAUUAAAAUAGUGAAACACUUGUAUGUGAGACAUAG